UUUAGUUAUUCGAGUAAAAACAAACGGACGUGCUGUGGCAUGAGUGCAGGUGGAGGCGCAGUACAAAAAAUACAGUACAAGAGGAUGUCUUCACAGAGUGGACGUCGCGUGAUGUCCUUGCAUCUUUUAAACAUCACCCAAUAACCUUUACUCUAAAAUAUGUCUUGUACAUCAACUCCUGUCAUUUGCUUUUGCUGUCUUUUUUAAUAUACUAUCCUGACAUGGAAGCAGGGCGGAUCACCGCGCAGGAGCUUGCCGGCAAGAUGGAGCUGGAGGCAGAGGGGAAGAGAGCCGGCUGUGUCAUCCUACCUGCCCACAAAGACAUUCGUGUUUCUGUGAACACAACAAAGCAUCCCUCUAGGCGCAGCAGAGAGCAUUAACCUACUGCGCUGUUGCGGGACACAAGGGCCGGGAGAGUAAAUGCUCAUUUCGGGACACGCAACCUGUCAAGUGGCGCUGCCGACAACAGGCCAAGACCUGGGCAUGACGUCAGUGCCAGCAUGUCGCCUCUCUCCUCCUGCCUGCUCACAUGCACAGACAAGAGCCUGCAAGAGCCCUUCCUCCCAUUGCCUGUAUUCUUCACAUUUAAUUCCGAUUUUGCACUAGAAUAUUUGCUUUAGAAUGACAUUAAAACAAUCCAGUAUUAUUCUGAACUGACGCGAUCGAGUAUUACAGCAUCACUCGUAUUAUUACAGUAUAAUACUAGAGUAUGAUUUGUACAUUCUAACACUAAACAAAUCAUCUGUUUAUGUUUUAGGAGGACUGAAAAAGACUUAGUAUCUACAUUUUCUUUUUAUUUUGUCAAUGAGAUACAACUAUGCUGACUAAUGAAAAGGUACUCCAGAUGUAUAAAUACUUCAACACACUGUAAAGACUGCCUAAAGAAUUGAAAACAUGACUAGAUUCCACAUAAUAAGUAAAUCAUAAGUAAGGCAUUUAGUCACUGCCAUAUAGAUUGUCACUCCAACAUAGUAAUAGAACUUUCUGUUAUUUAUUAUGAAAUGAUGAUUAUUUUUAUUACAGUAAAUCAUUGCAGUAGUCUGACAAUAAAUUCCUUAGCCCGAGUCUGCUAUGUAGCCUAAUUAAUGACAGCCGCACCUAAUUAUCCCAUUUCUUCAUGAAAGUGGCGCCACCCACUGGCAUUAAUGAACAUAACAAGCACUUCAUUAUCUUUGUGUGGUGAUUCAGAAGCAAGUUUUUAUGCAAAACAUUUUGCCAUAAUUUUAAAAUUUAAAAUGUUUAAAUCACAGUUGCUAACUGAAAAGGUGGGUCCUCAAACACAAGAAUCACUGUUCACCUUAGCUUGUGAGUAGAAUCUGUUUGCCGAAGAUAAUCUCUCUGUGCUUUAUAUACUUCUGACUUCACUGCAUACAGCCAAGGCAUCUCUGCCCAUUCGACUCACUAAGGCUAUACAGAAUGCAGGUCAAAAGAGAAUCCCAGAAUUUCUUCAAGAUCAUAUUUGUCAAAUCCUUUUCCUGUAUCGUACUAUGUCUUUUUGUAUUUCGUUUAUCACAUAUCUGACACUAAACACAAGUUUUUGUAUAAAACAAUUAUCAUCA